GGAGGUAUAGCUCAGUGGUAGAGUGCAUGCCUAGCAUGCAUGAGGUCCUGGGUUCAAUCCCCAGGACUGCCA
rnacentral:tRNA from 1 species